rnacentral:lncRNA from 1 species
GGGAUCACCUGAUUUGAAAGUGGGAUAGCUUCGUCAUCCUAACUCCUAUGAGAUUUAUUCAACUUCCUGGUGGUUCUCCACUACAUUAUGUAUCAAACUCAAGCUUCUUACAUCGUUAUUCAUUCUGGUUUGAUUAGAAUGACAAAGAAGUUGUCAUAUUCCCAAACAAGAAAACUGGGAUCACCUGGUUUGAGAGUGGGAUAGCUUCUUCAUCCUAACUCCUAUGAGAAUUAUUAAACUUCCUGGUGAUUCUCCACUACUUUUUGUAUCAAAUUCAAGCUCCUUACAACACGAUUCAUUCUGGUUUGACUAGAAUGACAAAGAAGUUGUCAAAUUCCCCAACAGGAAAACUGGGAUCACCUGAUUUGAAAGUGGGAUAGCUUCUUUAUCCUAACUCCUAUGAGAUUUAUUCAACU